AUUGAACGCUGGCGGCAGGCCUAACACAUGCAAGUCGGGCGAGAGGCGGACGGGUGAGGAAUGUAUGGGGAUCUGCCUGAUGGCGGGGGAUAACUAACGGAAACGGAAGCUAAAAACGAACACCAUCAGCUGACACCAUAUGGGAUUAGCUAGUAGGUAAGGUAAAGGCGUACCAAGGCGACGAUCUCUAGCUGGUCUGAGAGGAUGAUCAGCCACACUGGAACUGAGACACGGCCCAGACUCCUACGGGAGGCAGCAGUGGGGAAUAUUGCACAAUUGGCGCAAGCCUGAUGCAGCCAUGCCGCGUGUAUGAAGAAGGCCUUCGGGUUGGAAAGUACUUUCAGUCGGGAGGCGUUACCGACAGAAUAAGCACCGGCUAACUCCGUGCCAGCCGCCGCGGUAAUAC
rnacentral:rRNA from 1 species